rnacentral:rRNA from 1 species
GACGAACGCUGGCGGCGUGCUUAACACAUGCAAGUCGAACGGAAAGGCCCUGCUUUUGUGGGGUGCUCGAGUGGCGAACGGGUGAGUAACACGUGAGUAACCUGCCCUUGACUUUGGGAUAACUUCAGGAAACUGGGGCUAAUACCGGAUAGGAGCUCCUGCUGCAUGGUGGGGGUUGGAAAGUUUCGGCGGUUGGGGAUGGACUCGCGGCUUAUCAGCUUGUUGGUGGGGUAGUGGCUUACCAAGGCUUUGACGGGUAGCCGGCCUGAGAGGGUGACCGGCCACAUUGGGACUGAGAUACGGCCCAGACUCCUCCGGGAGGCAGCAGUGGGGAAUAUUGCACAAUGGGAGGAAGCCUGAUGCAGCAACGCCGCGUGCGGGAUGACGGCCUUCGGGUUGUAAACCGCUUUCGCCUGUGACGAAGCGUGAGUGACGGUAAUGGGUAAAGAAGCACCGGCUAACUACGUG